GCCUACGGCCACGCCACCCUGAACAAGCCCGAUCCUGUCUGAUCUCGGAAGCUAAGCAGGGUCGGGCCUGGUGAGUACUUGGAUGGGAGACCACUUAGGAAGACCAGGUGCUGUAGGCG
rnacentral:rRNA from 1 species